rnacentral:rRNA from 1 species
UAUCCUGUCUGAAUAUGGGGGGACCAUCCUCCAAGGCUAAAUACUCCUGAUUGACCGAUAGUGAACCAGUACCGUGAGGGAAAGGCGAAAAGAACCCCGGCGAGGGGAGUGAAAAAGAACCUGAAACCGUGUACGUACAAGCAGUAGGAGCCUCUUUAUGGGGUGACUGCGUACCUUUUGUAUAAUGGGUCAGCGACUUAUAUUCUGUAGCAAGGUUAACCGUAUAGGGGAGCCGUAGGGAAACCGAGUCUUAACUGGGCGAAUGAGUUGCAGGGUAUAGACCCGAAACCCGGUGAUCUAUCCAUGGGCAGGUUGAAGGUUGGGUAACACUAACUGGAGGACCGAACCGACUAAUGUUGAAAAAUUAGCGGAUGACUUGUGGAUGGGGGUGAAAGGCCAAUCAAACCGGGAGAUAGCUGGUUCUCCCCGAAAGCUAUUUAGGUAGCGCCUCGUGAACUCAUCUUCGGGGGUAGAGCACUGUUUCGACUAGGGGGUCAUCCCGACUUACCAACUCGAUGCAAACUGCGAAUACCGAAGAAUGUUAUCACGGGAGACACACGGCGGGUGCUAACGUCCGUCGUGAAGAGGGAAACAACCCAGACCGCCAGCUAAGGUCCCAAAGUCAUGGUUAAGUGGGAAACGA